CAGCAGCCGCGGGAAUACCGAGGGUGCGAGCGUUAAUCGGAUUUACUGGGCGUAAAGCGUGCGUAGGCGGCUUUUUAAGUCGGAUGUGAAAUCCCUGAGCUUAACUUAGGAAUUGCAUUCGAUACUGGGAAGCUAGAGUAUGGGAGAGGAUGGUAGAAUUCCAGGUGUAGCGGUGAAAUGCGUAGAGAUCUGGAGGAAUACCGAUGGCGAAGGCAGCCAUCUGGCCUAAUACUGACGCUGAGGUACGAAAGCAUGGGGAGCAAACAGGAUUAGAUACCCCAGUAGUCCCUGUCUCUUAUAA
rnacentral:rRNA from 1 species